rnacentral:rRNA from 1 species
AACGUAGGUUCCGAGCGUUAUCCGGAUUUACUGGGCGUAAAGCGCGUUCAGGCGGUUUGGCAAGUCGGGCAUGAAAUCUCUCGGCUCAACCGGGAGAGGUUGUCCGAUACUUCCAGACUUGAGGGCAGUAGAGGGUGGUGGAAUUCCGGGUGUAGUGGUGAAAUUCGUAGAUAUUGGGAAGAACACCAGUGGCGAAGGCGGCUAACUGGUCCGAUACUGACGCUGAGGUGCGAAAGCGUGGGGAGCAAACAGG